CAGACGUAAUCCAUGUUGACGACUGUUAAUUGAUCAUUGAUUACAAAUCUGUUUGUAAUUUUUUUAACGGUUAUUUGAUCUUAUUUGAUUUUGUUUUUGAUGUUUACGUUUGAAAUUUAAAAAAAAAAAAAAAUGGACAGCAACUCUUCAACUGAUGCUGGCUUUUCAAAAGCACUUGUAACAUUGAAGUUUUUCCAAGGGAAAUAUUCCGAAGUGUUCAGAUUACUAGAAGAAGGUAAGUUCCCAGACAAGAGUGGACUCCUGGAGAUCUGGGACCAGGCUCACUACAAGGAAUACGAGCAUAAACUGGGACGGCAGCUCACAGCUCUGCUGAGAUUUAGAAUUCGCAAAAGAUUUCCUCCUCCGCCACACAUUUGUCCAAACGGAGAGCGCCCCACAGCGAGGCUGGGCGAGGCGGCAUCCCGUCUGCUCAAGUCGUGGUUCAUUGAACACCAGCAGCAUCCAUAUCCCUCGAAGCGGGAGAAGGAAAGUCUUGCAACGGUUUCGGGUCUGUCAUUGAGUCAGGUGAAAACGUGGUUCGCCAACACUAGAAGACGAACACGGCUGAAGAAUACCGUAACACCUAGCCAAACUGGGAAUCCCAAAAGAUUGGAGACUGAUGGAGAAAUGCAGGAAAGUGGAAAACAACCACUGCUACACCCUGUACUAUUACAACCGGAGUACACUGACGUCUCUGAUGAUGACGGGGCUCAAGCUGUCGGUCCACCCAAUAUGCUGGUACCAAAGUUGGAACCCGUACCACUAGACAUGCGCCGUCCUCAGUUGUCCCCGGAGUUUGGCAGAAUGAUGAGUCUGGAAGUGAGUAACAACACGAUGAAAGGCUGGCACAAACCACAGCAGCAUUUACAGAGCUUCACAGGGCCCGAACCGCUACAUUACAGUCAGUGCAUCUCAAGCAUCGCGACAUACGUGAACCACACUGCCGGCGCCAUACCAAACGCCGCAAACUGUCCAGAUGUUGCAAAUCUUGGUCUGCCUUUCUCCAUCUCCCAUGGUGCAGUGGAACAGAGUACGAGUCCGGCUUUCAUUUGGUCCAAUCACAUGGACCCCAAAUAUUGGCCGACCAUGUCUCCAGCACCCCACUGUUCAUCUUCCUACAGAUGGCCUCGUAUGUCGCUACCAGAAAGACCACCGGUUAUAUCUUCACCUGCAAGGGAUGGUGGACUAUCACGUCUUCCUUCCCUGUCACCUCAGAUCUUCGGCUGGUCGCAGUAUACCAGGCCAGACAUCGAUCCGGCUUCGCGUGGCUACUGCUUAAACAGUCGACCCGCCGUCACUCAGAGACCCCCGCCAUUGUCGUGUACCACAGAUGGGAAUCCAGCACCAUACGACACCAAACAUCAACCCUGGUUACCCAGCUUCAUCUUGCCGCCAUCAUCUGCGACGGCAGCAGUGUCCUGUGGUUUGACAUCGUCUUGUGGGACUGUGUCUACUCAUGCGUUUCGACAGUCGUGCAUGAACGAGUCGCCGGUUGAAAUGAUGACGCAGGCUUCCUCGGACAGUUUGUCGCAUGUGGUUUCUCCAUCAUCUUCCUGUCCAAUAAUGGGCAGAGACUUGACAGCGUCUCAAAGUCUUCGGCUUGGAUAUCAGGAAUUGGUAAACAGAAACAGAAGAUUGGCCAUGGAAGAGAGAGUCAUCCCUAGCUCGGCUGUAAGUGGUUACAAGGUGGACAAUAUCAUUCACUGGAGUCCUCCUGUCAUCACGGACCAGUCCAAGAACAGUCCUCUUCCCCCAGCAGCCCACUGCUGGCUCCAACCACCAGAAUGCACAGUCCAGAAAGGCAGUUGUCUACAACGAUCUGAUUACACGGAAAAAAUACCACAUGUCAAAUCCGAACAAUACUCUGAAGGCAUGCAGGAAAUUGCACAGGUUUUGCUUAACCUUUCAAGUAACAAGACUUCGAAGUCUGUAUCCAUGACGAACGUUGCACCUGGAAACACUCCACCCGACAAUCUACACACAGACUAAGCCCUGAACUUUGUUAAUGAACAGGAAUAUUAUAGUUCGUCUCACGGGGAACGCCUUUUUCGAAAAUAUGGAAUAUACUAUAAGUUAUUUAUUUCUGAGCCGAUUGAUUUGUAAAUUUCACACAAGAAUAGUAUUUUUUUGUCAUUUCCAAAACAAUUUCACUUUUCUUCUUACUUUAAACCAAACAGAAAUCAUUUACAAAACAAACAUUUUUUAUGGAAGGAUGGGACGGACCAUAGUCAAUUAGGUGGAGAUUAAUAAGAAGAAACUUCUUUAAAAUGCCCAUAAGAACCAGCUGGUGUUGGGAGGAGCUAUUUCAGGACAAAAAUGUUGAAACAUCCGCUCAAAAUAAAAGAUUUCCUUUCUU
rnacentral:misc_RNA from 1 species